GGCCUCAUACUGAAAACUACACAGCAGUGUACAGAUGCCAAAAGGGGGAAUGGUGAGAGAACCACUGCAGUGUCAUCACGACAAACUCGUGUCCAGAGCCGUAGAUUGUAGUCUGAAGCGGUUUUCAUUUUGUUAUUCAGGACCAAAAUUAUAUUGAAUUUUAUUUUUCAUAUGAACAUCUAUGUUACCUGUUAAUUAUAUAUAUUUUUUUUACUUUGCCUGUAGUUCUCCUUUUACAUUCUAUAGAAACGACUACAAGCAGCUUUUUUAUACCCCCAUCUCCUCCCAUUGAUAAAAGAUAUACAUUAAUUAGUAGUCCAUGCUUGUGGGAAUGUCGAUGGAUGGCAACAUUAUUGGAAAAUUCCUGCAGACAGAUCUAGUCUCAGUAUGGUGAAAGCAAGUGAAGCAGAAAAAUACUUUGAAGGAAAGGAGAGAAAUGGACACCAAGUCGGCAUCUACUCUACUCUAAUUGCCCAUUCACACUGCAAUAUAGGUGUGCUAUAGAUCACUUUCACCCCAGUGAGGCGAGCGGCUGUGCUUGGUAUGGACAUAAUGCACAAUAAAAUGAACAGCUCCCUGUCAAUGGCUGUCAAUAGGAUAGAGAUUUGUGGCCUUACACAAAGGAAGCAAUGUGGCUUUGAUGAAGUGUACAGCUUUUCCCUGUGAUUAGGCUAGGAGAAAACGCCAUUGAUUAUGUCUUUCUAACCGCUUUUCUACAAAAUAGCCAAAUCGUGGCUGAAUCUUACAAUUGCUUUGAAUUCCUGUUUACUAGAACCAUGGGAGAGCAUGGCAGCAACACGUUUGAUUACCAUUUUUUACAGAGGCUUUGCUACUAGGAAUGUUUAUAUUCGAAAAAAGACAAGCUGAUUGAACAAUCUCCUGCUGAUUUACCAGCAUCCAUGAGGUGUGAGGGCCUACCUGAUUAGAUAUAUACAUACUACGUAGGCGUUGGCAAAUCUAAAGAAGAUUACCAAAAUUUUUAUUGUAUAUAGCUUAAUAGAAAACAAUUACUACAAAUUAAAUGGGAGCAGUAGUUUUUUAUUUUGUGA